GGAGGACUGGGCGUGCAGCGGGUGGUCUAGGCGGCCUAGCGCGAUCCCGAGGAUACCCUGACAGGAGCCUGCAGAAACAACAGCUACCAAACCAGUUUUCUCAUGUUGACUGCAACGGAAUAGAGAUGAGUCCUGAUGGUUCUGAGUCACACCCAGUGGUGUAGAACAGUGAGUGAUGGUUUAAAAAUAGGAUGGAGCCCUGGCAACAAUGAGCAGCAACUAACAUGGCUCCAGGAUGCGGGACUGGGACAGCUCCGAACCGCAGCAGGGCACUGGAGUGGGGCGGCGUCAGCCCAGCCUCCAGGUGGCCCCGGCCGCCGGAAGUCAUGCCCUCGACCCACCCUCGGUGCCAUCUUGCCAACAUUCAACAGAGAAGAAGCCGGGUGUUCUGGUGAGCAACACGGCUGGAGAAUGCUCUGGGCCCUAGACCGGGCCAGCAACACCGAUCCAGACGGAGGAGGUACAACGGUACACCUUCUCCAGAUGGAGCCCCGGCGACAAUGAGCAGCAACUAACACGGCUCCGGGAUGCGGGAUUGGGACAGCUCUGAACCGCGCAGCCCCUAACGUGGCUGCGCUGCGUGACCUUUUCUAAAAACUGAAAACAUACAAUCUUUUAAUGGAAAACUAAUUAUCAAAUGCUUCCUUGGUAGUACGGCUGUCUUUCUUGGGGGGAAAACUCCAACAACAAUAGUGAGUUUUGUGUUGAAAUAUGGAACAUAAUCAAGGUAAAGAGAAAAUGAAGUGAA